rnacentral:pre_miRNA from 1 species
AGCCUUCUAUAUCUGUGUUGAGAUUACGUCACACGUCAGACCACAAGAGCUGAUGAGACUCCCAAGAUAAGUGAAGCG